AUGGCUUCCACCCUCCUUCCAAAGCUUGUGACCACGGAUCUGGCUCCUCCCACCAUUCCUUCCCCUCUCCUGCUUGGAGCCGCGUGUGACCACGGAUCUGGCUCUCCUCCACCAACGGCAGCUGGGAUGGCGCGGAUCCACCUCUUCUCCACAAGCACCGGCCGAGACGACGUGGAUUCGCAUCUCCUCCUCCCUCCCUGCCAUGGCCGCCUUUAUCUGCUGCGCCCCCCGCCUCGCAGCUCUGCUUCUGAAUGGAGAUCUAGAGGAGUACCCGCCGCUCACCGUGGCUUCAAUCCUUCUUCCCAACUGGCCCCAGAGACACAACGUUAA
rnacentral:rRNA from 1 species